rnacentral:lncRNA from 1 species
CACAAUCUUUUCGAAUCAAAACUCUAUCUCUAACUAAUCCAACUCUAUCUCUAAUCAAGCUUAUCCCUAACCAACUCUAUCUCCGGAAUAUUUUAUUCUAUAAGACAACCUCCCGUACGUGCGCUUCCCUUGUAUGCCAAAUAAAUUGGAACUCUUGUUGUACACAUGUGUGCGUCGAUUUCCUUCUUUUAAUCUUCUAGCUUUCUUGCUUUCUCUUUCUUCAUGCACACGUUUCUACUUUCUGCGGCCAGCUCACAAAUAACCUUAUUUAGAAGAUUUCGUUAUUUUUUGCAUCAUCAAUCGAUUCCUUCCUUUCAGAGUAUAUUUCCAAAAUUCAUUGUCAACAGUAAGAAAUACAUGUAAUGUCUGUCUGAGGGUCUGUCUAUGUGAAAAUUACUCGUAAUAAAAUAAUGUAAAAAUUACCAAUAAUAAAAUAAUGUGUUGACUAAUUCGCAUGUAAAUAAUUAUUUUAGAAAGAAAAAAAUAAAUUUUACAUGUUCACCGAAUUGUUGUUUUAUGACUAUAUUGGAAUUUCUGAAUGAUAGUGGACAGCAGGACAAUUCCACCGUAAAUAGAGGAGAAAAGGAAAAAAAUGAUUGAUGUGUUAAACAUCAUAUUAUUGCAAAACUAAUAAGAAGUAACCUGAUCAGAACAUUACACCUGAUAUAACUAACAAUCCAAUCUGCAGUGGCAAACGGAAAAGGGCGCGCGUACAUGCAUCUGCAGAAAGUGCUAAGUAUAUAUCAAUAGCAGAGAACAUCUGCUGGAUCAUCAGUUUCUCAGAGUUCAUCGUGACACAGGCAUGAACACAAUGAACACGUAAGAACACAGAACAGGCGUUGAGAUCGAUCAAAUCGCGAGUCCAACACAACUGAGAGGCCUCUUCUCGUUGACACCGCCUAACGCACCGACCAGUGGGCGGUGAUGGCAAGCGCGGCGCUGACCCCCGCGAGAUCAGCCGCGGCCUUGAGGCCUGCGUGGAGGGCGAUGAAGCGCUCAACGUCGAGUAAGCCGUCCAUGCCCGGAAUAAUCGGGCCGUCGUGCACGUCGCCGGGCGUCCGCAGGUGGACGCGGCACGUCUCCACACAGCCGCACGCCUCCUCAGCGCAAGCCCUGGCGCUGUGGAACAGGCUCAGAGCAAGCUGAACGUGCUGGACGCGGGUUGGCCGAGGUGCCGUAGAGCACCAAGAGCUCGGCCGCACCUCGAUGGAGGACGGGACCGUCCGUAGGGUGGGGUGCCGCGGGCAGCUGGGGCGGCGGGCGGUGAGCAGCGGGUGUUCGGGGGCGGCGGACCGACGACCGGGGGGUGGCGGAUGACGGGCCGGCGGUCGGCAAUCGGGGGCGGCGGGUGACUGGCCGCCGAGGACGGCGCGCGAAGGAGGCCACGGUUGUGCGGGGGAGGAGCGGAUGGUGUCGGAAGAAAUAGAUUGGGAGAAAAAUGAACUGUUUCCUUCAUAAGCAGGUGGGUAAUUUUUUACAAAACACUUGACAGCAGGAGAAAUGUGCUUUUAAUUUUGUACUAGAGCAAAAGCACAUUUUGAAUAAAAGCACAUAGGACUUUUAAGCUAUUUGGUUGGCUUUUAGCUUUUGCAAGAGUAAAAGCAGGUUGAAAAGCCUAACCAGUGGCCGGUGGGCUGCAAAACUCCACGCCUGCUCGUCCAUCACCACAACCUCUUCGCUAAUCCGGCCGGCCGCUGUCAGGCUACGCCAGGACGCCGGCACCUUUUUCCGUUCACGAAAGCAAACCACAACCUCUUCCGUGUCGGCUUUGCUCUUGCAGUCUU